GAUGAACGCUAGCUACAGGCUUAACACAUGCAAGUCGAGGGGAAACGAUAGAGAAAGCUUGCUUUUUCUAGGCGUCGACCGGCGCACGGGUGAGUAACGCGUAUCCAACCUGCCCACCACUUGGGGAUAACCUUGCGAAAGUAAGACUAAUACCCAAUGAUAUCUCAAGAAGACAUCUGAAUGAGAUUAAAGAUUUAUCGGUGAUGGAUGGGGAUGCGUCUGAUUAGCUUGUUGGCGGGGUAACCGCCCACCAAGGCGACGAUCAGUAGGGGUUCUGAGAGAAAGGUACCCCACAUUGGGAGUGAGACACGGUCCAAACUCCUACUGGAGGCAGCAGUGAGGAAUAUUGGUCAAUGGGCGAGAGCCUGAACCAGCCAAGUAGCGUGCAGGAUGACGGCCCUAUGGGUUGUAAACUGCUUUUAUAAGGGAAUAAAGUGAGUCUCGUGAGACUUUUUGCAUGUACCUUAUGAAUAAGGACCGGCUAAUUCCGUGCCAGCCGCCGCCGUAA
rnacentral:rRNA from 1 species